rnacentral:rRNA from 1 species
CAACGCCGCGUGAGGGAGGAAGGCUCUUGGGUUGUAAACCUCUUUUAUCAAGGAAGAUAAUGACGGUACUUGAUGAAUCAGCAUCGGCUAACUCCGUGCCAGCAGCCGCGGUAAUACGGAGGAUGCAAGCGUUAUCCGGAAUAAUUGGGCAUAAAGCGUUCGUAGGUGGUUCUGUAAGUCUGCUGUUAAAGCGUGUAGCUCAACUACAUAUAGGCGGUGGAAACUACAAAACUUGAGUGCGUUCGGGGUAGAGGGAAUUCCUGGUGUAGCGGUGAAAUGCGUAGAGAUCAGGAAGAACACCGGUGGCGAAGGCGCUCUACUAGACCGUAACUGACGCUGAGGGACGAAAGCUAGGGGAGCGAAAGGGAUUAGAUACCCCUGUAGUC